UACCUGCUUACAUGGCCUCUCCUCAACACC
rnacentral:piRNA from 1 species